rnacentral:rRNA from 1 species
GAGCCUACGGGAGGCAGCAGUCGGGAAUAUUGCGCAAUGGAGGAAACUCUGACGCAGUGACGCCGCGUAUAGGAAGAAGGUUUUCGGAUUGUAAACUAUUGUCGUUAGGGAAGAUAAAAGACUGUACCUAAGGAGGAAGCCCCGGCUAACUAUGUGCCAGCAGCCGCGGUAAUACAUAGGGGGCAAGCGUUAUCCGGCAUUAUUGGGUGUAAAGGGUGCGCAGGCGGGCUGUUAA